rnacentral:rRNA from 1 species
CAGUCGCCACGGUAAUGCGGAGGGUGCGAGCGUUAAUCGGAAUUACUGGGCGUAAAGCGUGCGUAGGCGGCUUUUUAAGUCGGAUGUGAAAUCCCUGAGCUUAACUUAGGAAUUGCAUUCGAUACUGGGAAGCUAGAGUAUGGGAGAGGAUGGUAGAAUUCCAGGUGUAGCGGUGAAAUGCGUAGAGAUCUGGAGGAAUACCGAUGGCGAAGGCAGCCAUCUGGCCUAAUACUGACGCUGAGGUACGAAAGCAUGGGGAGCAAACAGGAUUAGAUACCCCCGUAGUCCCUGUCUCUUAUAA